GAUGGAGAGAAAGACGAGGAGGGCUGCCUGACAAUACCACCAUGUGACAUAAGUAGAGAAUGAGAUUUCACUUGUGCCCCUGGCUUGUGGCCCACUCACUAACGCAGAGGAUGGCUGUCCUUUCCCUGGAUGGAACCUGGAUGACCUCCACGAAGCCAUGAAGCCAUUGUUCUCCUUCACCACGGAGACAUCUUGGGUCUUUGACUUAUUUGGCCUCCAUUUCUGUGCCAGCGUUUUCCUUCCUCAUUUUUCCAUCCAUCCCCACAGCAGAACAUUUUCCUUUCCCAGGGAGUUCCCAUCCUGAAUCACCCAUCUCUCCAUCAGUUGUCAGUGAGAGUCUAUUAAAUGGCCAGUCUUGAAAUCCUUCUGAUGAUGAAAAAUAAAAAUAAACUUGUGAAACAACUCCUGCA